rfam:Gossypium raimondii Chr10_contig_164, whole genome shotgun sequence.
CUCAAGGAAGCGCUUUGUCCACGUGGACAGAAAAUGCUUCCUUGAGGGAGCACUUUGUGUCCAAGUGGACAAAGUGCUUCCUUGAGG